CCGCAAGGAGGCAGCGGCCGAAGGUAGGGUCAGCGAUUGGGGUGAAGUCGUAACAAGGUAGCCGUAGGAGAACCUGCGGCUGGAUCACCUCCUUU
rnacentral:rRNA from 1 species